AACUCUAAUAGUUUACAAAAAACAUUGGUCUUGUAAGCCAAAGAACGAAGACUACCCCCUUCUUAGAGUUCCC
rnacentral:tRNA from 2 species